GUACAGUCCUAUAGUUGAUAGGAUUUGAUACCUCUUGUACUCUAUAUAUACUUUUGUGAGCACUAAAAGAAAAUCACUUCUCCCAAAACUCUCUACAUUCAGCCCCUAGCUCCCGCCACUGCCUCCCCCGGGCCAAAAUAAAGGAGAAAAGAGAGAUUCCCUGCAUUCUGAAACAGUGGACCAAAGGCAGAAGUAAAAGAUAAUUUAAAAAGUCUUGCUUAAAGGAAGGGAAGAACUGCAGCGCCAAAAAACAAGACUGCCCUUC
rnacentral:lncRNA from 1 species